UGGGGAAUAUUGCACAAUGGCGAAAGCCUGAUGCAGCAACGCCGCGUGCGGGAUGACGGCCUUCGGGUUGUAAACCGCUUUCAGCAGGGACGAAGGUUUUCUGACGGUACCUGCAGAAGAAGCACCGGCUAACUACGUGCCAGCAGCCGCGGUGAUACGUAGGGUGCGAGCGUUGUCCGGAAUUAUUGGGCGUAAAGAGCUUGUAGGCGGUCCGUUGCGUCGGAAGUGAAACUCAGGGCUUAACCCUGAGCCUGCUUUCGAUACGGGCGGACUUGAGGGAUGUAGGGGAGAACGGAAUUCCUGGUGGAGCGGUGAAUGCGCAGAUAUCAGGAGGAACACCAGUGGCGAAGGCGGUUCUCUGGACAUUUCCUGACGC
rnacentral:rRNA from 1 species